rnacentral:lncRNA from 13 species
AUGUUAGCUAAUAUAUUUUUUUUAUGCACUUCCGACUCUCAAAUAUCACGAAUUCGUAAACUAUUUUGUGCGUUUUUAUCCUUCUCGAUCGUGUAAAUUUUGAGUUUUACACAUUUUCGGUCACAAAUUAAUAAUGUUAUAGGAUUUUUAUCCUUGUUGAAAUUAAGAGACAUUUAUGAAAUUAUUAAAUUCAUAAUCAAUGUUUAUUAAAAUUGAUCUUACAAAUAUUAUCGUAAUUUCUCAAACUGCAACUUCUUCACGAAACCUUGAUGUACUUGAUAUAUUAAAAUCUUGAGCUUUUAAGCUUGAGAAAUCUUUGAUCCGCUGAAUCUUCGAUCUGCCGAGGCUCUUAGAUUUACGAAUACUCGAUGCUGCAGAAUCCUAGCAUCAUUUCUCUUGGAUUUCGGAUGUUCGAGUCCACAAAUUCAUCGAUCUGUCGGUGCAACAGAUCCUGGUAAUUGUAUUCCAGGUUUUAGAAUCAAACGCAGGAUUUUGCAAAUUCUCCACAUCACAAUCUUACGAAUUUGCCAUUUGAUAGAUUGAUUUGUGUAGAUUAGCGACAAAGUCUACGUUUCGUCCGCAAUCCUUCGCCUGAAUAUUAUGCUUUUUCCUUCAUUCAAGUUUAAAGUUCAAUAAAUAAUACUCAUUGUCAACUGCAAUAUUGACAAAUGUUCCAAGAAGUUUUUUAGAUUUUUUUGAAUAUUUUUAGGUGGAAAAAAAUAACGUCAGACGCAGUAGCGCAUCUAUAGGCUUUUGGGGUUAAAGUUCCAGGGGUCAAAGCGUUAGAAGCGUUUUAUGUAAAAAAAUGUUUUAUUUUUUUAAUUCUUUACUGUUUAUUUUCACGGAAGGGGAAGAAAGGAGAAAGAUUGGGGUGUUCGAAGCUCACAAAUCCCCUGGAUAUAAAUUUUACGAACGCGGCUCUGGUCGGACGCGACAGACCCACGUGUUCGGGGUAUGGUUAUCGAAAAACCGUGUUCAAGAGGAGGAUUAAUGUACGAAUGUUGCUCGUAUCACAUUAAUCUCGCAUUGGGCAACUGUCUAGAUAGUUAAGGUAGUUAAGGUUAGCACGCCAAUCGCGUGAGCGACGGCAGUUGUUCCAUUCAUUCGCAUUUUGGGAAUACGACGCGCAUCACGUGGCGGCCGAUGUUAAUACAUACAUACGCGACAAGCGCGGCCUGCACCGCACGCGUGACACAUAACAUGAGUGGGAGUGACGGCAAUCGAUUCUGUGUGACUGACGUUACAUCGCCAUGGUGACACGCGAAAACAAAUAUGUGCGAUCGCACAGACACGCUGACCCACAGUAAGCCGCACGAGUUCAGUGUGUCACGUAUACAACGGAAAACCGAGAGCUCCAUCCUUCGACCUGCACGAAGAAAGUGACGAAAGCUCUCGCUAACGACGAAUUCGCAGUAAAACUUUGUAAUUAUUCAUAGAAAUUUUUUCGCCAGAGUAAACUACUUAGAAUAUUGUAGUUUGUAUACCAAGAAAUUUUGUAGAAAUCAUACAACAAAAGUACAAUUUACAAAAAUUUAGUAAAGUGUUCCAAUACUAGCAUUUUCAUGAAUAGUAUAGUCGCAACUACGGUUGCUAGAGAAUCCGAGAUUUCAUUCAACGAGAUAAAAGUAAAAAUUAUGUAAGAUAAAUGAUCAAUAAAGCAUGUCGUAAAAUAAUUAUGUAAUUAUAACGAGACAAAUUUAUUGAUUCCAUCUUGUAAUUGAAUCUCACCACCGAUGGUACAUUAUAUAUGUAUGUUCACUACGCUGUCACUAGAUUAAUAAAUAUUAAUUAUUAUUAUUACCUUGUGUUUUAUUUAUGAUCCUAAUUAAAACGACCAAUAUGAAGCUUAAUAAUCAUUAUAUCAUUAAUUAAUAUCACGUACACGAUACAUAUGUAUAUCAUGAAUUUCAAAACAAGCUACAUAUAUUGUAAGCAAACACAUCAAUCGGGCGUGCUUGUUUACGGAAAUGCAUAAUUAUUAUUAUCUUUGUAACGCAUUAAUUUACACGACAGAAACAAGCGGUAUCAUAUUUUCCAUCUCGUUUGAAAAAAAUAUCGACUUUGAACAACAUAUUUUCCACCGAGGCGAGAUAGAUCGAAAUUAAUCAAUUAGAAUGGCAAAAGCACGAACGAACCUGUCACGAGGAAAAAAAAAAAACGGAGUAAACAUACGUAAGCGUAGAUGCUACACGUGGAAAAAGUUACCGUUACGGAUAAAACGAGAAGUUCAGAUACUGCAUGUAUACGUUUAUAUGUUAAUACAAGCCCUGUAACAUCGUGACGUCGCGUAGGUCUUGCGAUGAUGUUUUCUGCGACAUAAAUUUAAAUUGGCUACAAACUGCAGUCGACACUCGACACGCACGUUGUCAUCCUACAUAAUAACGGCCAUUAAGAGACGUCUUAAAAAAAAAAAAGUCGAUACCGGUUUUAUUUCAGUUUUUCACAAAUCUGUAUUUCUGUCGCAGCUCUUUCCCUCUCUCACAUCACCGUCUCGCGCGAUAUUAUUAUUGCCGUAUAAUUAUGCGGCGAUAUUUCGUAUAGAAUCGCUCUGCAGGUGAAGAUAAAUCAUUCGAAUUUAUUUGCAUAUCUGGGCGCGGUACACGGGACGGACGCGGACGCUCGCAGAUUAACUUCGCGAGUGUAUCUGGUGCAUAAAGCUUUCAUGAGAUUCGACAUUUUUCUAUUCCCGCGAUGUGGGUCAGUGUCGGCAGCGGCUGGUUCAUUUACUUACGGCACGUAACGAAAGAUUGCCCUUGUACGGCAUAUCGUGCACGAAUGACAGGAUAGCUUAUCAGGGAAAUUAGCAUUGCGGCAUUGUUAUCUAAUACUUUAUCUUAGCUCGGGGAAAAUGUUUGCGAAUCGUAAAAAGCGCAACAUUUUCAUUUAUAAUAAUUUCAUUUCUGUUGUGUUCUAAUAAAAAUCUAAUUCGUUUGGUUGCAUAUGCAUGUUCGGAGAUGACAAUUUCAAAAUAAUAGACUAUUUCGUAAGUAUUUGGGAAACGAUUUCAAGAUUCAAUGAAAAUGUCUUAUUUGUACUUUUACACUCCAUUUGCAUAUUUUCAAUACAUUUACAUAACCGAGCAACUAAAGAUGAAAUUAAAAUAUUAACGUAAAAAAAAAAUAAUUAGCAAAUAAUUUAUUCAUAACCGUAUCUAAUUUUUAACGAGGAUAACGUAUAAACGACAUACGUAUAUAGAACACAGAAUUGGCAAUACAUUAUGACAUAACACGCACGUGCAAGUCUUAAAUAAAGAUUCAUAAUACUCGUGGUUACAUAUAUA